rnacentral:lncRNA from 1 species
GGAUCGGGUAGGCUGCGUGUGGGCUCUGGGAGACUGAGAAGGACCCCAGUGUCUGGGGUACUUCACUGUGCUGGGUGGCUGAGGAGCAAUGAAAUCAAGCGGCCAGGGCCCAAGGAGAGGGUAGCUCCAGGGGCUGCUGAGGGGAUCGGGAGGAAGGGCUGAGAGACGGGGUCAGAGCAGAUGGUCACCAGGCCGCACGGAGCCCUGGCGGAGACCCUCUGCCGCUGCCUGGCAGCACAUUCAGGCUCAGAGCCCAAGUGGAAGAAGGAAUGUGGGUGCACUCAGCACAGGCGCAUCGAUUUGGGGGUGGUUGGGGUGCCUCUAAUUCUCUGUCCCAAAUGGCCUCACCUCAGGGAGGGGUCAUGGCUGUGCCUUCAGCAUCUGAUGGGCGUUUCCAGCCUGCCUGGGUGGCCCAGGGGCCAGAGAGUUUGACAGGUUCUCUGGGGAUGGAUUGCUUUUGGUUUCUCAGAGGCAGGACUCUGGUCGGAAUCUUGGCCUCACAACUGCCAAGCCCCGCCCCCCACCCAGGUCACUGUCCUGCGGCAAAGGGGCUGAUGGUCAGGAAUGGAGCGCCUAACAGUGGUGCUGGCUCCUCUGGGCGACUGUGCAAAUCGCCAGGCUUUGUGCUUCAAGACCCUCCCCCAAAUUCCCUCUCUCUUUCCUUUGGGGCCUCGUUUUCCUGUCCCCAAGCCCUGUUUCAGGGAGCAGACUUAAAGGUGGUUCUCGGGAAUUAAAGUAGGGUAAUCGAUUGAAAGGAUGCUCUCAUGGCACAUGUGGGUGGAGAAAACAGAGGGUUGAAGGCAUUACGUUGUGGUGGGGGGUGCGUGCUGGGAGUCUUUGAGAGAAUUCACCCCUCUCUCUGGGCACUUCACUUGGCUUAGAAGGUGAGGAGGAAUUCUAUCAAGCUGGCAGCUGCCCAAGGCCAGGAGAGCCCUGGGGGGCUGCUGAGGGAAACCGGAGGAAAGGCUGAGAGUCAGUGUUAGAGGAGACGGCCUCCGGAAGGGGCCAGAGCACAGACAAAGCCCAUCUGAAGCCCCCUGGCUGCACCUCUAGGCUACGAGGUGGUGCCAAGAGGGGUUAGUGGGAGCCCCAGGAUGUGUUAAGAUGGCUCACAGGGCACCACUGACUCUCUGGCACCAAUCGACUGACCUCAGGGAGCAGAAAGACAUUGCUUUCUGCAUCUGAUGGGUAGUUCCAUCCGGCUCUGGCUGCCCAGGGGCCAGAGAGGUGGACAUGUUCUCUGGGGUUGGUUUGCUCUUAGUUUCUCAGGGGGCAGGGACACUGGACCCACAAUAUCUGCUUGAAUCUUGGCCUCGCAAUUACCAAUCCUGCAGCUUCUGUAAAGUCAUCACAUGUCCAACGGGGCUGGUGGUCAUGAAUGGAGCUUGUGAAAGUGGUGCUAUUUUGAGGGGGCAGACAGGAACCCCUGUGCUUUAUCUUUCAGGAGUUCUCCCCGGAUUCUUUCUUCCCCUUCCAUCUGAACCUCUAUGUCCUGUCUGCAAUCGCUGUUUCAAGGAGCAGAACUAAGGGAAGGGCCUGAGAGGGAAGGCAGCUGGGACUGAUUUAAAGAAGCGCCCAGAAACACGCUACGGGCUGGGGUGUGACAAUCUCAGAGCCGGAACUCACCCCACACCCUGAAAUCAACAACCCCACUUGGUAAGUCCUGUGAGCAGCCCCUGAUCAGUCAGCACCCUUCAACCCUGGGACCCAGCAUGAACCCAAGGACCAUGCAGCCUUUGUAAAAGUUACCUGGUUUUAGGUAACCUCCCUGCAGCAGGUGUCUGGUGGAGGAGGGAGAGGAUCAGAUGGAAGAAAUAGAAAGAAAUUUCAAGAGACCAGAGACAAUUUUCAGGAAAUGGGCAACCUUCCCACCAAGGAACCUCUGCUUUUCCAUUCUCCAUUCAUGACCACCCACCCAGCUUUCCAGAUGCCAAACAUGGUGCAGGCAUGAUCCUGGAGCACUGCAUGCCCAGUAGCCAAGCCAACUACAUCUGUGUUCAGUUUUCUGCCUCUGCAGAAUCCAAAGGCAGUCACCACUCUUGCCAGCCUGCCCAAGUGUCUGGACUUUAGGCCACCUGAGCUGUCUGAGAGCGC